rnacentral:rRNA from 1 species
GAUGAACGCUAGCUACAGGCUUAACACAUGCAAGUCGAGGGGAAACGACAUCGAAAGCUUGCUUUUGAUGGGCGUCGACCGGCGCACGGGUGAGUAACGCGUAUCCAACCUGCCCACCACUUGGGGAUAACCUUGCGAAAGUAAGACUAAUACCCAAUGACGUCUCUAGAAGACAUCUGAAAGAGAUUAAAGAUUUAUCGGUGAUGGAUGGGGAUGCGUCUGAUUAGCUUGUUGGCGGGGUAACGGCCCACCAAGGCAACGAUCAGUAGGGGUUCUGAGAGGAAGGUCCCCCACAUUGGAACUGAGACACGGUCCAAACUCCUACGGGAGGCAGCAGUGAGGAAUAUUGGUCAAUGGGCGAGAGCCUGAACCAGCCAAGUAGCGUGCAGGAUGACGGCCCUAUGGGUUGUAAACUGCUUUUAUAAGGGAAUAAAGUGAGUCUCGUGAGACUUUUUGCAUGUACCUUAUGAAUAAGGACCGGCUAAUUCCGUGCCAGCAGCCGCGGUAAAAGGG